ACGCAGGCGCAAUGUCACUUACCAGGCAUGGGAGUGCUGGUCCUGUUGUGCGCGACAGUUGCUGUCCUGAUAUGGAGCUUUCUCUGGGUAUGGAAUUCCUCAGAACAAAAAAGAACUCGGGAGCAAACUGGUCUGCCGGGAGCUGGAAGCCGGACCCUCCUUGUGACUGCGCACCCAGACGAUGAGGCUAUGUUCUUUGCUCCCACCGUGCUGGGCUUGGCCCGCUUAAAGCACCGGGUGUCCUUGCUCUGCUUCUCUGCAGGAAAUUACUACAAUCAAGGAAAUAUUCGUAAGAAAGAACUUUUGCAGAGCUGUGAUGUUUUGGGGAUUCCACCCUCCUGUGUAAUGAUUAUUGACAACAGGGAUUUCCCAGAUGACCCAGGAGUACAGUGGGACACGGAGCUUGUGGCAAGCAUCCUCCUCCAGCACAUAGAGGUCAAUGGCAUCAACCUGGUGGUGACUUUUGAUGCAGGGGGAGUCAGUGGUCACAGCAAUCAUAUUGCUCUGCAUGCAGCAGUGAGGGCCUUGCACUCAGAAAGGAAGUUCCCUAAAGGGUGUUCUGUGCUGACGCUGCAGUCUGUGAAUGUGCUGCGCAAGUACCUCUCCCUUCUGGAUCUGCCCUGGUCUCUGCUGCACACACAGGAUGUCCUCUUUGUGCUCACCAGUGAAGAAGUGGCACAGGCCAAGAAAGCUAUGUGCUGCCACCAUAGCCAGCUCCUGUGGUUCCGCCGCCUCUACAUUCUCUUCUCCAGGUACAUGAGAAUCAACUCACUGCACUUCCUCUCAAGCCUUGAAGAGUUUUCAGACCUAAAGAACAAAAUGGAAAAUAUUGAUGGUUCACUCUGAACAAGAAAAUGCUGCAUGAAGAGGCAGAGCAGAAUAUGGCUCACAACACCAGAAAGGCUGACUGCUGUUGUUGUUCUGAGAAGGAGUAAGAAGGCACUAGGCAGGGGGACUGGCACACACAAUCUCCAUGAGGACAAGUUGGUUGUCAGUUCACAUUCCUGCAAGAGAGAAGCACAAGUCGCUGGGCCUCCCGACCCUCAUACUUUGGCCACUACUCAGGAACACCGACCUGCAAAGGAAAUAAAAACCAGGAGCAACAGGCUGAAUACAAAAGGGGGAUAAGGCCCAGCAAGAGGACAGGAGGGAUUCCAUUCGCUGAAGGAAACAUCUUACGGUAGUAGCAGCUAACAGGAAGAGACUAUUGAACAUCAUAGUGAAAGUUCUGGCUCUGGGCCAGACAAAAAAGGAUGCUCUCAACAGUGGCCCAGGCAGCAAUCUGCAAAAUCAAGUAAAAGGUACACCUGAGAACUGGGAGGGAGAGCCGAGCAUGGAGGCACAUACCUAUAAUCCAGCACUGAGAAGGCUGAGGCAAGAUCACUGAGAUGAAGCCCAGCCCAGGUUAUAGAAUGAGUUCGAGACUAGCCCAAAUUACAGAAUGAGACCCUGUCUCAAAAAUAAAUGAAAACAGAAAAAUGGAGAUCAUGUCAGAAAUGCAAAUUAAACAUACAUCCAAAUGUCAUGAAAUAAAGGGCAAAUUCAUCAGUUAUGGUGGUAUACACCUGUAAUCCCAGCACUCUGGAGGCUGAGUUAAAAGAGAUU